rnacentral:rRNA from 1 species
UACGGAGGAUGCGAGCGUUAUCCGGAAUCAUUGGGUUUAAAGGGUCCGUAGGCGGGCUGAUAAGUCAGAGGUGAAAGCGCUUAGCUCAACUAAGCAACUGCCUUUGAAACUGUCAGUCUUGAAUGAUUGUGAAGUAGUUGGAAUGUGUAGUGUAGCGGUGAAAUGCUUAGAUAUUACACAGAACACCGAUAGCGAAGGCAUAUUACUAACAAUUUAUUGACGCUGAUGGACGAAAGCGUGGGGAGCGAAC